GGCGGCGUGCAUGAGACAUGCAAGUCGAACGGACGAUCGAGGCUUGCCUUGAUCGUUAGUGGCGGACGGCUGAGUAACGCGUAGGUGACCUGCCCCGAAGUGGGGAAUAACUGCCCGAAAGGGUGGCUAAUACCGCAUGUGGUGGUGUGUUCAUUCACACCAGUAAAGCCGCAAGGCGCUUCGGGAGGGGCCUGCGUCCGACUAGCUCGUUGGUGGGGUAACGGCUCACCAAGGCGACGAUCGGUAGGUGGUCUGAGAGGACGAUCACCCAGACUGGGACUGAGACACGGCCCAGACUCCUACGGGAGGCAGCAGUCGGGAAUUUUGCGCAAUGGACGAAAGUCUGACGCAGCAACGCCGCGUGAGGGAUGAAGGCCUUCGGGUUGUAAACCUCUUUUAUCAGGGAAGAUAAUGACGGUACCUGAUGAAUAAGUCACGGCUAACUACGUGCCAGCAGCCGCGGUAAUACGUAGGUGACGAGCGUUGUCCGGAUUUACUGGGCGUAAAGA
rnacentral:rRNA from 1 species